GCCUUCGUGGUGUAGUGAUCAGCACACUCGAUGCAUAACCGAGAGGUCCGUAGUUCGAUUCCCGGCGAAGGCG
rnacentral:tRNA from 1 species